UUUUUGGUCCCUUUAGGGCUCCCGUCGAGCAGCUCUAUAUAAGCGGGAGGCGCGGGCCCGUCGGCCCCUUUUUCUCGGCGAGCCGCAGAGGGACGGGGGUGGAAAUGUGAAUACUGCACAUGCAAGAGGUUUUCUCCUAGAGCUGAGAACAAUCAAAAGAUACCAUGGUCCAAGAAGUCUGCAUCCUAGGAAUGAGUUGCUUUGGAGGAGGACAGCACUAAUUUCCUUUGAAAUUGUGUAACAUAAAUGCUGUUGAAGAGCCACAAUCAGAGGUGUCAAACCAGAGGUGCUUGAGGAGCAGUAUGAUGUACCUUCCUGGGCUACAGAAGCAGGGCUGGCCUUACCAUGAGAUGAUGCCUGUAGGUUUGUUUUCUAACAAACCUGACAGCAGAAAAAGAAACCAUUUAGAAUCUCUGCAUUUGAAGUUUGCUAGAUAUAGCUUGAUCCUCUGCCAUGCACUUGCUCAAAGACGCUCCAUGCACUACAGACCAUGAAUGUGAAUAUAAUAUAUGGUGUGAUGUUAAUAUAUUUUUGCAACUGUAAAUGUUCUCCGUAACCUGUUUAGCCAAGGUGCAAUAAAGAAUAAAAAGCUAUUCUGAUGUUUA